rnacentral:lncRNA from 1 species
UCCAGAGCUCGUGAACCGCUUGUUGAAAUAUCUUUUUCUUACAAAGCUUAUGAAAAUAUCUUAAGAAGCAAAUAUAUGAAGUUUCCAUGACAUACUAUGCUAUAUAGAAGAUUUUAAUAAAAAAUGGGAUUGUAAUACCUUAUCUAUUUCGAUGUGUUUUUGUAAAGUUGUUGAAGCAAUGUCGAACAUUUUCAUCAUUCUUUUUAUUUCUUGUUUUUCAACCCGGUUGCUAGCGAUAAUAUCUUUAACAAAAUUUGUGCGCUCCUGAAAUAGCACAAGAUGAAAUAAACAAAGGUAUAUAGAUGAAAUAGCACAAGAUGAUAUCUUCAAUUAUAAACAAAGGUAUAGAUAUAUUAUAAACAAAGUUGCUUAGGUGUUAUAGCAACAUGAACAAUUUUAUUCCUUUCACAAUGAAAUAGCAAUUGAAUAUUGUUCGUAGUGUUCAAAAUAAAAACACGUUAAUCCAACCAAACUUUACUUUGUAUUCAAAACAUUUGAAAAAUGCAUAUAAGUUAUUCUCAUUCACAUUUUAAGCUUUUACUAAACUCACUUGAGUACCAAACAAAGAUAAGUAAAUAUAAAAAAGAGCUUAUAUCAAUUUGCAACAUAUAUAUGUCAAACCUAUAUUAUAUUUAGUCUAGAUCUUCUAAUUGUUAGAUUUGAUCUUCUAAUUGUUGAAAACACUAUAAGAUUUGAUCUUCUAAUUGUUGAAUCAAUUAAAAUUAUAUUCAAGAAUUGUUGACAAGAUUAAUACUUCAAAUUGAAAUUACAUUCAAGAAUUGUAGUCAAAAUUAAUACUUCAAAACAGAAACUAAAAUUAUCAAAAAUUCUGAAAAUAAAUCAAGAGCAUUACUCAACAAACACAUUAUACUCUAUCAAGGCGGGUUUUGUUAGAUGUUGUGUUCAAGAUCUAGACUAUUAAAUGACAAAUUAAAAAUCAAGAAUUGCAAUUUCUUUCUAUUUUUGAAACAAUAAAAAAUCCUAAUUGUAAUGACACAAGAUAAAUUGAGUUUCUGAAUUCUCAUUUUCAUUUCUAUCAAAAACUAACUAAAGGAUUACAUUGUGCAAGGUUUAUAUAGAUAUUGAUUCUACUAACCAAUUCACAACUAAAGCAAAUGCAACUAUAAGAAACUCUUAAUUGUUUAUAAAAACCUUUCAUUUGCUUAUAAUAGGGGGAAGAUAAUUGUUUUGGUUAAUUUGAUUACUCAAAUAUAACAUGUAAAUAAUAACUCCCCAUUUUGUAUGUAUGGUAAUCAAAAUUUGAUUGGUCAAAUAUAAUAAAUAUAGGCAUUUUCUAUGAGCAAUUAAUAGGGAAAAAAGAAUUAAAAGAUAUUAUACUUUUUAUUGUAGGAGCUUCUCAUUAUAUUCUUUUUUAAAUAAAUGUGGCUAACACUCUAAAAUAACAACAAAUUAAAAAUGUCAAUAGAAACUAAUCAUAGCAACUAGCAACAUUGAGUAAAAAAAGAGUAAUUAGCAACAUCUACCAACAGUCCAAUGCAGCAGAGAACAAUGGAGCUUCUUUGUAUGAGAGGAGAGAACAAUAAAUUUGUUUUUAGGAAAAAAACGUAACUUGUAGCCCAUCGAAUGGAGAGUUAAAACAAUUAAAUGAGAGAGAUGGUGUAUGACGAUGGAUAGUGGUUUGGUUGAAUGUUAAUUUAAAUGGUGUAUUGCAUUACUAUCAUCAGUUACAAAAUAAUAGUUACACGAUUCAUAAAAGAAAAUUAGAACUUAAUAUAUUAGUUAUCAGAUGUAGGAUGCUGUUACCUUCUAAUAAUCGCAUAUCUUCCUGUCGAAUGUUAUGUAUAUCUUGAGCAGAUAAGAUUAUCUGAUGUCCACCUUUUGUGUAAUGUACCUGACACACCAGAGACAGACUCAAA